rnacentral:rRNA from 1 species
UACGCACGCUGGCGGCGUGCUUAACACAUGCAAGUCGAACGGAAAGGCCCUGCUUUUGUGGGGUGCUCGAGUGGCGAACGGGUGAGUAACACGUGAGUAACCUGCCCUUGACUUUGGGAUAACUUCAGGAAACUGGGGCUAAUACCGGAUAGGAGCUCCUGCUGCAUGGUGGGGGUUGGAAAGUUUCGGCGGUUGGGGAUGGACUCGCGGCUUAUCAGCUUGUUGGUGGGUAGUGGCUUACCAAGGCUUUGACGGGUAGCCGGCCUGAGAGGGUGACCGGCCACAUUGGGACUGAGAUACGGCCCAGACUCCUACGGGAGGCAGCAGUGGGGAAUAUUGCACAAUGGGCGGAAGCCUGAUGCAGCAACGCCGCGUGCGGGAUGACGGCCUUCGGUUUGUAAACCGCUUUCGCCUGUGACGAAGCGUGAGUGACGGUAAUGGGUAAAGAAGCACCGGCUAACUACGUG